rnacentral:lncRNA from 1 species
CAGGACACACCCCUUUCCCUACCUGCAGGCGGCCUUGCCAGGUAAAUCUUUUGAUCAGUUUCAGCUGUGUCGCAGCCUUUACAGCAAGCACUGCCCAGCUGAUCAGUGGCAGAGAGUCUCCAGUCAGUUACUGGAAUGUUUGUGACUUUGGACCAAACGUUGCUGCUGUUUGGAUCACCUGCUUCCUUUUUUAGUUUUCAAUGCAGUGAGAUUGUGCAGACUUUUUCUUCUAUUUAGAUUUUAAGCAUGAACUGUUUGGAUUCUCCUUAAUUUUGAGCAAAGUUCAUUUGGAUUGCCCUGCUGUGCCUCUCCCUCCUCCUCUGGAUGUCUUCUGUGCACAUUUUUGGAUCCACAACAUUCCUCCUCGUGACAGAAAUUUUACAGGCAGGGAGGAAGAUGGAGGAGCAUGGCGGUGCUCGGGAGACUGCUCUGUUUCAAUUCAAAGAUGCUGCACAGCCCACCUUUCUCCAAGUCCCCCACCCCCCCAAAAAAAACUUUCCAACCUUUAGCGCGCAGGGGAGACGAUGCUAAAGAGUGUUCUUAUAAUCCAGACCAGAUUUACCUCUAAACCUCCAGGAUUAAAGUCCCAAAAAGGCUGCCGUAGCGCUCCAGCUGUAAAGCUCUGUCUUGGGAACCUCCGCCCGCAGCAGACGAGGAUUUACAUUUCUUUGAUGAUCUACCCACAUCCACCACCAUCCUGCCUUUUUAAGCUGCUGUGUGUGCAUGAGGGGCUCCUAGUAAUCAGUGCUGCAAAAAGAAAAGGGAUCCCUGAGAAUCUGAGCCUGACCGUUUAUGAGCAAGUGGUUGCAGAUAGGAGGAACUCUAUCAAAAUACAGUAUACUGUCUGAUUCAAAGGGAAGUAUUUAAAUAAAUAAGUAUUUUGUGCAGUUUACUGUCAAAUGACUUUACUGGGGCUGGUUUAGCUCAUGCUGGUUUGCGGCGCCUUACGUCCGUGAAACCUGGGUUCAAUUCCAGGCUGCUCCCUAUUCCCUUCUCUGCUGCUGUGCCGGUCCCAAGCCCGGUUGGAUUGAGAGGGUUGCGUUAGGAAGGGCAUCCGGUGUAAAACAUUUCCAAAUUAACCAUGCAACUCAUCCUUGAGGGAGGGUUGUUUCGCUGUGGCAACCCCUGAUGGGAAACGCCGAAAGAAAAAGAAGUGUCAAAUAACUUUACUCAUCCUAAU